rnacentral:lncRNA from 1 species
ACCACCAGCAACAGUGAAGGGUGUAGCUCCUUCAGCACUGCCAGGUGUUAGAGCAGCCGGGGGCAGGUGUGAGCCUCCAAAGCACAGCAGAGGAGGUGAGGUUAUAUUGGGUGCAGACAGCUCCGCCAAGGAGACUUGCUGGUGAGGAUCUGUAUUCCAUAGAAAAUAUUCACUAACUGGUGUUUUUUCAAGUUUGUUCUCUCAUCCUUCUGUCCGCUGCUAAUGUUCUUUUUUUGAGCGGCCAUGGCCAGAGAGCUUCACAGAAAGAGCUCGGGCUCAGAAGAACUGACUUUGUCAACUAUUUACAGAGAUCCCAGUGACAUGCAUUCUGUAUGGUACGACCAUGCUGUGAGUACUUACUUAUAUGAACUCAAUAUUUUUGUACACAUAAUGAACAUCUGGUGACAAGACGCUCAGAGCAACAACAACAAAAAAAGAAAGGGAAAAAAAAGAAGAGGAGAAAGAAAAGCAAAAGGCCGUAAAAUCUUUUGCAUGCCUGCUACUUUUAUGACUUAAAAUAUUUUUCCUUCAAUCAGUGCAUCUAGGGAAACUUUUUUUGAUGUAACAAUCAAUUUUUAACAAGGAAAAAAGUCUGAACUCAUAAAUAUUGUAUGUAUUAAUUGUGAAGCUUAAUGGAACAUUUUGUGUUUCUGAACAACUCGUUUACAUAAUUAAAAUCUCCUUUGAUCUGUUAGUAAAUGAUUUAAUCUUAAUGCUCAUUAGACUAAAUGGGUCUUCUAUUCAAUUGUAUCAAGAUGGUAUGGAAAAUUCUCAGACCUUUAGAAAAUAUUUGUUAGUUGUUAGGAAAACACAGAAACGUAUCUGCGAA